UAGUCCCGAGAGGAGAAAACAUACCCGGGAGAGAGAGUUCAUAACCUAAUCCUUGCAAAGUGUCACUUUAACAGUGCAGCGGUCUCACAAAUGUACUCGUUUGGAUAGUAAAUAAUUAAUUUAUAUGAACAGACUGUAAUAAUUGUGCAAGUGUAAAAGGUAACAUAGACUUUAUAUAUUGUUGAAUAGCAAUAGUAGAGAAAUCCAAAAUAUUUAACAGUAUGUAUAUGGAGUGAAUAGCACACCACCCGGAAACAAGAGUACAAGAUAUAAGCUACAAGAAUACAUCCUGCACUACAAUGACGCAGGUGUCAACAGGUCAUCUGAAUAGUAUUUAGGUUUACCGCAACUUCAAGUAUAUUAACACAAAUGCAGCCUCGCAGAGAAAGUCACAUAUUUUACACUAUUAGAGAUGACCGGACAGAACUCCAAGAUGAUGAAAGACUCCGUAGGAUCACCAGAAGCAUCUGAGGGGUCUCAGGGAUUCCAGCGCAUCAACAAUUCCAAGAUAACCAAGAAGGCAGCUUCAGAAUCUCAACGAAGACCCACUCCGUCCCAAAUUAGGAUGUAUAAGAGCAUCAAUUCAGGAAUUUGACAUUUCAUCACAGCACUUGUAAUAAUUCCCAGCGAAACGCUCAAUAGAUGACUGUCAUGUUUAACUCAAAGGAAGAUCACUCAGCUAUUUUGAACUUCCAUUUAUGCAUCCAUUAGUUAUUAUAGAUGCUUCACAGAUUAUAGGGAAGAUGUAAAAUGCCAAGACGCGGUUACAGCACAUGUGCAUUGCUUAACACUGUUCUUGGACGGGAUUUAGCACAGCACUAUAUAAUUCGUCUAAAUCGAACGUAUAUAAGAUGAUUAUGAUAUUUCACACAACGGGAAGACCACCAAGUUAUUUGAACUUCCGGCACCUUAUUUAUGCAUCAGUUAGUUGGUAUAAAUGGUGUUAUAAACCCAUCAUAGGUGAUUAUAAUUACAGGGAUAAGAUGUAGGCGCCAAGGCACGAUUGCAACGCAAAAGUGUUUCUCAGCACUGAUCUAAAAUGAAUUUUUAUCACCGCACUAUAAAUUUAUCCAAUUCCAAUUUAUAUAUAAAAUUAGUGUUUCUUUGGCUAUCACAAACUAAAGUAUUGAACAAUAGGUCAAAGUAUAUUAUAGAUUUCACCACCAACUUUAUUUUUCUGAACUUUGUAGAAGAAUACUAACUGUUCAAGUCUGUUUUUCAGUAUCAAUCUGUAAACUUGCUAGUAUUAAAAUAGUCCUAAUAUUUGUAUGAUUCCAGGUAAUAUCACCUAAGGCCACAAAACUAUCUUUCUCCUACAAACUUCCUUUGUUUGAGGAUAUAAUACAACACAGAUAUAUUGAGGAACAGGAUGCAAAACGCAAAAGCGCAGUAACAAACACAAAAACGAUCCUUGACACUGUUUUAAGGAGGUGUUCAAACACAGCACUAUAAGAUUUACCAACUCCAUCGUAAUAAGAUUAAUGUUAUUUUAGAUGAUAUCAAUGAUGAAUACUUAGCUAUAAUAUUUACACAAGAUAGUGACUAACUAAAAUAUUUAAUGUGUAGUAAGACAAUGCAUGUUCGCUCAUAGACUCAGUAUUUUGAAUAGUAAUUUCUAAAUCCUGCAAAUAUAUUCGUAGUCCAAAUACUAUGCAUAUUACUAGAAUACUUAGACUGUUUAUGUAAUUCCAUAGAAUUAUCAUAUAUUAAUAUCCGCAGAAAGACCGUUAGCUAUCUUUUCGUCUGCGUGCACCUCGUUUAUAGAAGAUUCAUUACAUUAAACAAAUGUUAGCAGAUUGGGAAGACGAGGCAUGGAGCGCCAGAAUUUGGUUGCACAUCCAAAUAUAAAUCCUGCACUAUUCUAGGAUGAAGAAACAGUAUUCGUUAACACACAGUCAGAUGACAAAGGCAGUUAAUUCAAACCACCCCUACUGAUAACUCAUCCAAUAAGGUCAAGGAUAAGAAGCAACUGUUACUAAUUACUUUCGGUAAAGAUAUAAAUACUAUCCAACUUCAACGCAACAGUACCAAAAUACUAUAUUGCUUGACAAAGUUAGAAUCAAGCUCCCAAGAUAGAUUAGGGGGAAUGCAAACUUCUUUAAAAAUUAUAACAAUCAGCUACACGCAUAUGAUAAGAUGAAUAAUUAAACAACUGGAUCGUAGCACAAAAGAAGCAGCAAACAUGAACAGUUCGUCCACUAUUAUUAACACUAAAUAUUUAUGAUUUAAUAUCUUUCUGACAGUGUCUCAACCAAUUUAGUUUAGCCUAAUUUAAUUAAGACUAAUUAAUGUAAUAAUAAUAAUAAUG